rnacentral:rRNA from 1 species
GACAGAGGUGCCGAGCGUUAGGCGGAAUCACUGGGCUUAAAGCGUGUGUAGGCGGGUCGUUAAGUGCCUUGUGAAAUCCCACAGCUCACCUGUGGAACUGCUUGGCAUACUGGCGAUCUUGAGCCACUUAGGGGCAACCGGAACAAACGGUGGAGCGGUGAAAUGCGUAGAUAUCGUCAAGAACACCGAUAGCGAAGGCAGCUUACCAAGCUGUAACUGACACUGAGGCACGAAAGUGUGGGGAUCAAACAGG